UUUUUCAUGUCAAUGGGUAUGAAAUUAUUAGCAAGGAUGCAUAUAUGUGCAUAUGUCAAGAUACAUAUUUAUCUUAAGAAUUAUCUUUAAAAAUUUCAAAAAUUUUAAUUUUGCAAAACAAAAUCUCACUCAAAAAUAAAAAUAUGUAAGUCCCAUUCCUUGAUUACAAUUCAUUAGAACUGGAGAUUUUUAAAAAUGUUUAAAUUUAUAUGGAAAUAUAAAAUCAUGUUUUAAAUAAUUUUUGAUUCAAUGAGGAAAUGUAAAUUUAGAAAUAAAGAUUAAUAACUAGAGAUUUAUAAAGGCAAAAAUGUUAAUGAAUUAGGAAACAGUAAACCAUUUUUAUGCUGUGAUUGAAUUACAGUGUGUGAUAUAUUGCUCUUAUUUGGGUAGAUUACCAUUUAACAUUUUGAAUUAAUUGGUAAUUGGAUUAAUCUUAACUUUUAAAAAAUUAAUCUGAGAGUGGUAUAAAGGAUAGAUUACAGAAUGGAUAAAGGGUGAUAAAUCAGUUGGCUAUGGCAAAAUUGCAGGAAGAAACUGAAAUAGGCCACAGAAAACUGAAACUGACAUUUUGAGUAGUAUUUCAGAAUCAAGAUCUGGAUUUUGGCAACUGAAUAGAUGCGUAGGAAUCAAAGAUGAGUAUACUAAAUGAACUUAAUCUGUGAUUUGUCUGUCAUUUUAUUGUGUACCAUUAGUGUG
rnacentral:lncRNA from 1 species